GUGCCCUCUCGGCCUCGCUGUCUCCUGACAGUGGGCAUCUGGGUAUUUUGAGCAGGUUUCUGAGGUCAAAGACCCUAAACACUGCCCACUGGAGAAUAUACCGCCCCACCACUGGUGCCCUCUUGCUGCUGACGGCCCUCCAUCUCUGUGACCAGGUGAGUGCCUAUGGCUUCAUCACCCAGGGCCACGAGCGCUUCUCUGACCACUACUACGAUAAGACGUGGAAACGGCUGAUCUUUUACACAAACCAUGACUUCCGGUUAGAGAAAGCAGUAUGGAAGCGGCUUCAUGAUGAAGGCCUCAUCCGGCUGUACCAGCGUCCAGAGAACCCGAAAGAGAAGAACUGACCAGCUCGGCUUCAGGAAUCUCCUGAUCAUGCACACCAUAGGGUGGCAGGGCUCCUCAGGUGUCCCCACCCAUUUCCUAGGACUCAAACAGGCUCCAAGCCCUUGGAGAGUCCCAAGGAACAGCUGUGAGGAGCCAGAGGAUUGGGAGCCCUCUGGGAAGUCAUUACUAACUCAAUGCACAUACAUAGACACCAACAAUUCAUUUCAGGUGACUGUUCAAAUUCCGUCUUCAAGAUUUUGGGCUCUGGGACCUAAAAUAACACUAACUGAGGCUCUCGGUAGUAAAUGGGACAAAACAAAACAAAAUGAAAAAAACAAAACAAACUAGCAAACAAAACAACCUUCUUUUAGACUUAAUGCCCAGUAGGGUACCAAAAGGUCUGGGAUUUGCUUAGGCAGUGCAGUAGCGGCUCCAGUGGACACUGACUGCUUCUCCUUGUGGAGGGAAGAGGAUUCACAGACAAGUGUGAGUCCCAAGAAAUAUGGGAUGGACGGAGCCCGCGACCCUGCUUUGGAGUGCUUUACCCCAGCAGUGCUUCUGCAGAGUGGAGCCAUCCCAGCGCUCCAAAGCACAAUCUGGUGCAGGGCUGAGCAGGACGAAGUGGCCUAGAGCAAUGCAAGGGGCGAGGGCAGCCCGAGAUGCAGCUGGACAGGAAACGCAGCAUUGCCCGGAGGUGGCCUCAAGGAGGAUGCCUGAAGGAUGCAUCUGCCCAGGGUCGCCCCUUUCCCUGUGUUCUGUUCUGAGCAACUCUCAGGCUAGCAGGUGGUGUUGGGAGAGAGUGCUGCGGAGACCACCACCGCCACUUCUCAGAUCUCCAGAGCGACAGUUGCUGCCCCUGCUGCCCUGUCACCACAGCUGUGCGGGGGUGGUCUCCACAUUCACUGAACAGGAGAGAAAACACAGGUGCAGGAAAGUCCUUUGCCAAAGUCUGUCCCAAGUCCAAGUUGACCCCAGGUCAACUCAGCCUAGCUUAGGUGAUUUUGUUACUGUUAUGGAUUGUAAUGUAAAUAUUUUUAGAGAUAGAGGUUUGAAUUCAGGCUCCUGAGGGUGACUGAGUGGAGUCACGACUCUGUCAGUUCACUAGAGACAAAUUAGCAGUCUCUGUACGCUGCUUAAACCAUCCGAGAUUCCGCACUGAACAAGAAGCUCGCCUGGACCCCAGGGCAGACAACUGGUGAGUUUCAUUCAGCCGACUGGUGCCAAUCUGCACUGUUUCCGAGGCAGGAGCCAAGUGUGUUCCUAUGCUCGCAUGAUGUGAAAAAGAAACCAAAAAUGGUGCAAACCUUUAGGUCCUGCUGGAUUUGUUUCUGCCCUCCCUUCUUGUUCUCCAAAGAUUAAAUUCAAUAUGUUUGAGCUGUCUUAUAGGUAAUUUAAA